rnacentral:miRNA from 1 species
AGUGCUCGGAGAUAUUGUCACG